rnacentral:rRNA from 1 species
UACGAAGGGGGGCUAGCGUUACUCGGAUUGACUGGGCGUAAAGGGCGCGUAGGCGGUUCGUACAGUCAGACGUGAAAUUCCUGGGCUCAACCUGGGGGCUGCGUUUGAUACGUGCGGGCUUGAGUUCGGAAGAGGGUCGUGGAAUUCCCAGUGUAGAGGUGAAAUUCGUAGAUAUUGGGAAGAACACCGGUGGCGAAGGCGGGCGACCUGGUCCGAUACUGACGCUGAGGCGCGAAAGCGUGGGGAGCAAACAGG